GAUGAAGAACGUAGCGAAAUGCGAUAAGUAAUGUGAAUUGCAGAAUUUAGUGAAUCAUCGAAUCUUUGAACACACAUUGCGCCCUUUGGUAUUCCGAAGGGCAUGCCUGUUCGAGCGUCAUUAUAACCACUCAAGCCUUUGCUUGGUAUUGGGGUUCGCGGUCUCGCGGCCCCUAAAAUCAGUGGCGGUGCCUGUCGGCUCUACGCGUAGUAAUACUCCUCGCGAUUGAGACCGGUGGGUAGCUUGCCAACAACCCUAAUUUUCUCAGGUUGACCUCGGAUCAGGUAGGGAUACCCGCUGAACUUAAGCAUAUCAAUAAGCGGAGGA
rnacentral:misc_RNA from 1 species